CCUACGGGAGGCAGCAGUGGGGAAUUUUGGACAAUGGGCGCAAGCCUGAUCCAGCAAUGCCGCGUGAGUGAAGAAGGCCUUCGGGUUGUAAAGCUCUUUUGUCAGGGAAGAAACGGUGGGGGCUAAUAUCCUCCACUAAUGACGGUACCUGAAGAAUAAGCACCGGCUAACUACGUGCCAGCAGCCGCGGUAAUACGUAGGGUGCAAGCGUUAAUCGGAAUUACUGGGCGUAAAGCGUGCGCAGGCGGUUUUGUAAGUUUGUCGUGAAAUCCCCGGGCUCAACCUGGGAAUGGCGAUGAAGACUGCAAGGCUAGAAUCUGGCAGAGGGGGGUAGAAUUCCACGUGUAGCAGUGAAAUGCGUAGAGAUGUGGAGGAACACCGAUGGCGAAGGCAGCCCCCUGGGUCAAGAUUGACGCUCAUGCACGAAAGCGUGGGGAGCAAACAGGAUUAGAUACCCUGGUAGUCCACGCCCUAAACGAUGUCUACUAGUUGUCGGGUUUUAAUUAACUUGGUAACGCAGCUAACGCGUGAAGUAGACCGCCUGGGGAGUACGGUCGCAAGGNUUAAAACGUUCAAAUGAAUUGACGG
rnacentral:rRNA from 1 species